rnacentral:rRNA from 1 species
AUUGAACGCUGGCGGCAGGCCUAACACAUGCAAGUCGAACGCGUGGCGGACGGGUGAGUAAUGUCUGGGAAACUGCCUGAUGGAUGGGGAUAACUACUGGAAACGGUAGCUACUACCGCAUACCUUCAGUUGUUCCCAGCUGGGAUUAGCUUGUUGGUGGGGUAACGGCGCACCAAGGCGACGAUCCCUAGCUGGUCUGAGAGGAUGACAAGCCACACGGGAACUGAGAAAAGGUCCAGACUCCUACGGGAGGCAGCAGUGGGGAAUAUUGCACAAUGGGCGCAAGCCUGAUGCAGCAAUGCGGAGUGUAUGAAGAAGGCCUUCGGGUUGUAAAGUACUUUAAGCGGGGAGGCGUUACCCGCAGAAGAAGCACAGGCUAACGACGUGCCAGCAGCCGCGGUAAUUC